GGUCCGGUGGUGUAGUUGGUUCAUCACGUCAGUCUAACAUUAAAUUAACUCGUCCAGGGUGAUUUGUGGGAGCACUGAAGGUCCCCGGUUCGAGCCCGGGCCAGAUCA